AAAUUAGAAAGCGAAUAAUCGCAAUUAGUUUCGACCUAAUUUAUUAGGCUAGCAGCCUUCUAAUUUU
rnacentral:tRNA from 1 species